rnacentral:rRNA from 1 species
AAUACUUCAAAACUUUCAACAACGGAUCUCUUGGUUUUGGCAUCGAUGAAGAACGCAGCGAAAUGCGAUAAGUAAUGUGAAUUGCAGAAUUCAGUGAAUCAUCGAAUCUUUGAACGCACAUUGCGCCCUUUGGUAUUCCUUAGGGCACACCUGUUCGAGCGUCAUUGCACCCCUCCAGCCUCGCUGGGUGUUGGGCGCGGCGGUUUGUCCGCCCGCUCCAAUGUCGCCGGCUGCAGCUAUCCGUCUCUCAGCGUUGUGAUACACCUCUCGCUCUGGGCACUAGGCAGCGUACGCCGCAACCUUUCUUCUCAGGUUGACCUCGGAUCAGGUGGG